rnacentral:misc_RNA from 1 species
UUUUUUUUUUUUUUUAAUUUGUUGCAUAGAAUUUCUGUGCCAAGUUUUAAGUUCAGCUAAAUGUGCUUAAUAACAACGAUAAAGAUUAAACACCCUAAUAUCUGGCAAGUUAGAUAGGGAGAAGAAAACAUUGAGCAACUGUUAUGCAAAGCUCUAGAAGAUUUGAAUGUAACAUACCAACACAAAGAAUGAAUAAAUAAAUAAAUAAAACAGAAAUCAGUGAAUGAUAUAUCUACUUUGUUAAAUAGGUCAUAGAAAUGUGAGCAUACCCCGAGUUGCCUUGAGUACAUGGCAUCAGUCUGCAACUCAAAAUCCAACAUCUCAGGCUUUGGCACUAUGGUUUCAUUG